UAAGACAGCACCAGCUUUAUUGGCCACUCAGAGCCUGGAAACCACACUGUGCACCGAGAGCUCACGAUAAAGCAAUGUGCAUUUUCCAGUGCACAGUCAACAAGGCGGCCUCCCCAAAACUAGCUCCGGGGGUUGCGCCAGACAUCCAUUUCCGGCAACAAGACCAUUGAUCCUUAAGGGUCCUCUGUCCUGUCUGCGCAUGUAGGCUCUGCUGGGCAGGAUCUUCCUUUCCAAAGCCCUCUUGUGAGUAAAAUAACAUUUUAAAAACUAUGGUGGCAAAAAGCUCCAAUUUGGGGCCAAAUUAU
rnacentral:lncRNA from 1 species